GUCAGAGUCAGAUGGUACAAUCUCACUAUUCCAGGCAGAUGGUCAAGAAUCAUAGAAAAACAGGUGCUGCAAGAGAAAACAGACACGGCAAUACAAAAGCCAAUGGCCUGGAUGGCAUAGAGCAGGUAAGGGAGCCCCACACAGGACUGGCACAGAAUGGAUGUGACACCUUUCCUUCUCUAAACCUGUCCCUCCCUUUACUCCUGGGUUCCUUUGGGUUCACGGAGACAGACAGCUAAGAGAAGGAUGGUCUCCAACUGCCGAGAUUGUCUAGGAUGGGCAUCAUGUCAGAGAGCUCCAGGGUUCAAAGUCACAGCGCA
rnacentral:lncRNA from 1 species